AGCUUUUCAAAUCCGUGUUGAGAUUUCGUCACACACCAACCCAUUAGGACUGAUCGGACUUCCAAGAUAAGUGAAGUU
rnacentral:pre_miRNA from 1 species